rnacentral:lncRNA from 1 species
UCUCGAUCUGAACUGUGUUGCUAGGUGAAGAUUCCAACUUCCUGGGCAGAGGGUCAUGUAGUGGAAUAGAGCUGUACCUGGCUUCAGGCGAGACUUGGAGCUCAAAACUUUCAGUAGGACAGCCAGGCGCGGUGGCUGAUGCCUGUAAUCCCAGCACUUUGGGAGGCCGAGGUGGGCGGAUCACGAGCAACUCCAAAAUGGAAGUACUAUUGUUAUCUCCGUUUACAAAUUAGGAAACUGAGGCACAGAUAUGCUCUUGGGUACUUGUCAGCAGCAGUUGUUCUACAAGUAAGGCUAAAUAUCUGGAUAUCUUAAAUCUCAGAUGAGCGUCUUAGCCUCUGGAUUACUGCUCAAUGAGGAAAGCUAUGAAAUGCAUGGAUAACUUGCUAAUCAGUAUUUGCCAUAUGUGCUAGCAGCAUCAGCAUCAGUUGGGAGAUUAUGGUGGCCUCCAUGUCAGACCUCCUAAAUCGGAAUAUCAGAGAAGGUGGCCCAGGUUACCAUGCUUCAUCUGCCAAUGCAUUGAAAACUUGGAAUGUAAAUUAAUUCAACCAUUGUGGAAGAUGGUGUAGUGAUUCCUCAAAGACCUAGAAGCAGAAAUAUCAUUUGAUCCAGAAAUCCCAUUACUGUGUAUACACCCAAAGGAAUAUAAACCAUUCUAUUACAAAGAUACAU